GUAGGGAAUCUUCGGCAAUGGACGGAAGUCUGACCGAGCAACGCCGCGUGAGUGAAGAAGGUUUUCGGAUCGUAAAGCUCUGUUGUAAGAGAAGAACGAGUGUGAGAGUGGAAAGUUCACACUGUGACGGUAUCUUACCAGAAAGGGACGGCUAACUACGUGCCAGCAGCCGCGGUAAUACGUAGGUCCCGAGCGUUGUCCGGAUUUAUUGGGCGUAAAGCGAGCGCAGGCGGUUAGAUAAGUCUGAAGUUAAAGGCUGUGGCUUAACCAUAGUACGCUUUGGAAACUGUUUAACUUGAGUGCAAGAGGGGAGAGUGGAAUUCCAUGUGUAGCGGUGAAAUGCGUAGAUAUAUGGAGGAACACCGGUGGCGAAAGCGGCUCUCUGGCUUGUAACUGACGCUGAGGCUCGAAAGCGUGGGGAGCAAACAGG
rnacentral:rRNA from 2 species